UAGGGAAUCUUCCGCAAUGGACGCAAGUCUGACGGAGCAACGCCGCGUGAGUGAAGAAGGAUUUCGGUUCGUAAAACUCUGUUGUUAGAGAAGAACAGCGCAUCGAGUAACUGUUAUGCGUGUGACGGUAUCUAACCAGAAAGCCACGGCUAACUACGUGCCAGCAGCCGCGGUAAUACGUAGGUGGCAAGCGUUGUCCGGAUUUAUUGGGCGUAAAGCGAGCGCAGGCGGUCAAUUAAGUCUGAUGUGAAAGCCCCCGGCUCAACCGGAGAGGGUCAUUGGAAACUGGUUGACUUGAGUGCAGAAGAGGAGAGUGGAAUUCCAUGUGUAGCGGUGAAAUGCGUAGAUAUAUGGAGGAACACCAGUGGCGAAGGCGACUCUCUGGUCUGUAACUGACGCUGAGGCUCGAAAGCGUGGGUAGCAAACAGG
rnacentral:rRNA from 1 species